AAAGACUUGGCAUUUGAUCCUCAGUGCACAGACAAGUGUCUCUGAAUGCAGGAAGCUUUUGAAUGCCCCUCCCCAUCUUGCAGUCUUAGAAACUGGGCUUGUUUUGGGUGGGAGAAGGAUGAUAUGAAGGUUUACAGCGUAAGAACCAUUACCCAGAAGUGCUGAUACCCAAGAUAGUUGAGGUCGGAUGGAGAAGUGGUGAGCCUCAAGCUCUUUCAGACAAUGCCAGCCAACCAUCCUGAGACCUGGAAACCAGCAUCACGGAAAGCGCCCCACAGCGGAAGUAUUAGUCACGCGCUGCACUGCACUUAGAGUUGCAACCUUAGAGGAAAACGCCGUCUUACUCCGAGAACGAAGUGUAAACAACUACUCACUAAUCAUCUACAAUUGUCUAGGCAAUGAGGCAAAUGGAAAGACAUUAAGAAGCCAACAGUGAAUCAGCGACACAUAUGACAGCAGGAAAUAAGGAACACUGGCCAGCAAGCCAUGCUGAAAUUAGUUGCUGUCAUUGGAGCCACUCCCACUGCUGGUCACUUCGUGCCUGAGACCUUCGCUAACCAUAUCCAAGCAGCCUUUAGUGGAGUCACCUCUUCUAAUGGUAACUGAUCUCAGUUGCUGACCACCAGUCCCUCACAGUGGCGUCUUUUGUCAAGCUACCCACCACUGCUCUGUGUAACAGACUCUCCUCUGUGCUACAUGGACAUUGCCAUCCUAUACAACAAGAAAGAUCACUCAGUGGAUCUGACAUGCUGGAUGCAGGUUCAGAAGGAAUUCCACAUGUCUGACACUGUCUCCCAUGGGCACCUAUGGGAGGUUAUGCCUAAUCUUUACUCUAUAGAGACCCAGAGGAGGUUGAGAAGAAGGAGUUGGCUGCUGCCAAGAGGAUGAAUUUCAGGGUGAAUGGACCAUACCAUCUCUCCUGAGCUCACUCACAGCUGGUAAGCCAGAGGUGGCAGACUGGUCAGAGAGCAUGUGUCCUCUGUACCCAUCCAACGUUUCUCUACUGAAAACUGGAGUGCUCAGCCAGCCACUGAGGACUACUGAGACGCUCCCACUGAGUGCAGGCCACCGAGUGAGCUGGAGUCACCACUGAGUGGCCCUGAGAGACCUGAGCAAACAGAAAAAUAAAAAAAAAAUAAAUGGAAGGAAAAUAAAGUUCCCAAAUGCUGGGGGGAAAAGCAUUAUAUGAAAUUGUCAAAGAAUUAAUAGAAACAUUGUUUAAAAGGACUCCAAAGUAUUUAAUACUAUUGAACUAUCUGACUAAAAAUUGUUACUGUGGUCAACUAUAUACUGUGCAAAACUUCCCACAGUCCAAGAAAUAUAUGUGAAAUAAUUUGAAUAUAAUUACAAAAGUGGAAGAAGCAAUCUACUCUCCCUAUUGAUGACGAAAACAGUUUUUGGAAUUGCAGGUAUCAGCCAAUGACCCUCUUCCCUCCAGAGCCAUCUCAACCUUCACAACUGCUAGGACCUGAUCUCAGUAUAUGGAGUUCCAGGGCUGAAGAAAGGAGCAGGAGAUUGACUCUUCUAAACUUGCUGCUUGCUUCUGCAACAGACACAGUAGAUGGAAGUUUGCCAGGACCCAGCCUCUAGGAUCGCCGCAUAUCGGUGGAGAACCAUCAGUUGUUUCACAAAAGACAUCAUCGAGGGAAGAAUCGUGAUGCCCUCAGCGAGACAUGAGCACACAGCUUGGAGCAGCCUCCUCUACCACAAAGCUACUACCAGAGUCAUCUAAAAAGUUUCUCUGAUAUAAAAAUAAAAUGUAUGAAGAACAAGCUUCUAAAUAUCUUUGUGACUAUAUAAAGUAGGAAACAAGGUCAAUGUAACUUAAAAUAAUACAUGAAUUUUAAAGACA